CUGAGAGAAGAGAGCAACACGUCUUGGGGUUGUCUCUGCCCACAACGUGCGUACACGCAGUUCUAAGGUGGCUGGUGUAAAAUACCACUUUUGAAAAGGAAAAAAAACCUCGCUUCCACAUUACAAAGGGACCAGGACCGUCACUGUCAAGCAUCAUGUAUCCGUGGUAGCCCCUGCCACCUGGAACGCCAUCGUCCUGUUGCACAUUUUCAGCAUUCGAUUUACACCGGCUUUUAAGGGACGAUUAAAGGAUCCACCUUUGACCUCUUUUCCUGGCUUGCGCGCCUCAGAGUCACGCAAAUGUGUGUCUGUGAAAUAUUUAGUGCGUUGUAAAUUGCAUUGUCAUUAUUUUGAAUAGAUUAUUUUGUCUGCUACAUGACUCAGUGAAUGUUUUCUCUUUCCGGUACAUUGGCUUGCAGCUUUUCAUGAUCAAACAUAGAUUUAUAAUAACAAAAUAAUCUUGUGUGCUUUGACAAGCGUUUACAUAUUUUUUGUGGCGGUGAUCAAUACAUACAUGGCAAAGAGCUUAGAGGAAAUGGUGAAGUUAGCAAAAAUUAGACUUCGGAACAUAGACUCUACGCGAAAAGUUGCUGUUGUCAUUGAAAACUCAACUCCUGGUGCAUUCACAAGUGUCAAGCAUCACAUUGAAAAUGGAGUGGAAGUACGAAUUCCACGCCGGGGCAUUUUGCCGAAACACAGCGAAAUAUUCACAUUCCGCAAGAGUAAAUUCUCUCUGGUUGGCUGCUAUGGCAUCAUGGCCUGCAGCUUCGGCGAGAAAAAUACAAAGUGCUUGCGCAUAAUGUUCAGCGUCCCAUUUUCCUUCUUUUACAAAAACGAGUAUUCAGUGUCUGUCGAAAAUUGCUCAUCCAAUUUCACUGUUGAUGAUCGAUCGUUGAGAGAAAUGUAUGACAGUGCGAACAAGACUUGUGCAGGAAAUUCCUUUGAAUUUGAUGAUUGUAACCAUAAUGUGCAUAUCCGGGCAUUCAUGGAUGACUCUAAUACUUCAAUUAUCACCGUAACGGUCUCCAGCAAUGAUAAAGAAACGACACUUUAAGUUACUGUAUAAGUGUAUUGACUACGAAUACCUAUGCUUCACGGUUUCUGUAAUCCAGCGACGAUAUAUCGACUAAGCUAUGCUUAGCAAAGUAAUAUCAUAUUUCCAUGUCGAA